rnacentral:rRNA from 1 species
GACGAACGCUGGCGGCGUGCCUAAUACAUGCAAGUAGAACGCACAGUUUAUACCGUAGCUUGCUACACCAUAGACUGUGAGUUGCGAACGGGUGAGUAACGCGUAGGUAACCUGCCUGGUAGCGGGGGAUAACUAUUGGAAACGAUAGCUAAUACCGCAUAAUAUUAAUUAUUGCAUGAUAAUUAAUUGAAAGGUGCAAUUGCACCACUACCAGAUGGACCUGCGUUGUAUUAGCUAGUAGGUGAGGUAACGGCUCACCUAGGCGACGAUACAUAGCCGACCUGAGAGGGUGAUCGGCCACACUGGGACGGAGACACGGCCCAGACGCCUACGGGAGGCAGCAGGAGGGAAUCGUCGGCAAUGGACGAAAGUCUGACCGAGCAACGCCGCGUGAGUGAAGAAGGUUUUCGGAUCGUAAAGCUCUGUUGUAAGAGAAGAACGGGUGUGAGAGUGGAAAGUUCACACUGUGACGGUAUCUGACCAGAAAGGGACGGCUAACUACGUG